rnacentral:rRNA from 1 species
CCGGUAAACGGCGGCCGUAACUAUAACGGUCCUAAGGUAGCGAAAUUCCUUGUCGGGUAAGUUCCGACCUGCACGAAUGGCGUAAUGAUGGCCAGGCUGUCUCCACCCGAGACUCAGUGAAAUUGAACUCGCUGUGAAGAUGCAGUGUACCCGCGGCAAGACGGAAAGACCCCGUGAACCUUUACUAUAGCUUGACACUGAACAUUGAGCCUUGAUGUGUAGGAUAGGUGGGAGGCUUUGAAGUGUGGACGCCAGUCUGCAUGGAGCCGACCUUGAAAUACCACCCUUUAAUGUUUGAUGUUCUAACGUUGACCCGUAAUCCGGGUUGCGGACAGUGUCUGGUGGGUAGUUUGACUGGGGCGGUCUCCUCCUAAAGAGUAACGGAGGAGCACGAAGGUUGGCUAAUCCUGGUCGGACAUCAGGAGGUUAGUGCAAUGGCAUAAGCCAGCUUGACUGCGAGCGUGACGGCGCGAGCAGGUGCGAAAGCAGGUCAUAGUGAUCCGGUGGUUCUGAAUGGAAGGGCCAUCGCUCAACGGAUAAAAGGUACUCCGGGGAUAACAGGCUGAUACCGCCCAAGAGUUCAUAUCGACGGCGGUGUUUGGCACCUCGAUGUCGGCUCAUCACAUCCUGGGGCUGAAGUAGGUCCCAAGGGUAUGGCUGUUCGCCAUUUAAAGUGGUACGCGAGCUGGGUUUAGAACGUCGUGAGACAGUUCGGUCCCUAUCUGCCGUGGGCGCUGGAGAACUGAGGGGGGCUGCUCCUAGUACGAGAGGACCGGAGUGGACGCAUCACUGGUGUUCGGGUUGUCAUGCCAAUGGCACUGCCCGGUAGCUAAAUGCGGAAGAGAUAAGUGCUGAAAGCAUCUAAGCACGAAACUUGCCCCGAGAUGAGUUCUCCCUGACUCCUUGAGAGUCCUGAAGGAACGUUGAAGACGACGACGUUGAUAGGCCGGGUGUGUAAGCGCAGCGAUGCGUUGAGCUAACCGGUACUAAUGAACCGUGAGGCUUAACCUUACAAC